rnacentral:rRNA from 1 species
UACGUAGGGUGCGAGCGUUGUCCGGAAUUACUGGGCGUAAAGAGCUCGUAGGUGGUUUGUCGCGUUGUUCGUGAAAACUCACAGCUUAACUGUGGGCGUGCGGGCGAUACGGGCAGACUGGAGUACUGCAGGGGAGACUGGAAUUCCUGGUGUAGCGGUGGAAUGCGCAGAUAUCAGGAGGAACACCGGUGGCGAAGGCGGGUCUCUGGGCAGUAACUGACGCUGAGGAGCGAAAAGCCGUGG